CAGCUUUGAUCAGUCCUGAAUCUCUCACUUUCCUUCUAUGAGUAAGACACGUAAAGUUGCAUCAGCCAUCUGUCACAUUUCCUCAUAAAGGAAGUCUAGAACUCCAAGAGAGAUAGGCUCACAGGUCCCAGCAACUUCGGGGAAUUUGAAAGUGGGGUACAGGAAAGUGCAAGUUGAAUAUAAGGAUGUGAGAAGUAAAAGCAACAAACAUGAUGAUUUCCGCUAUGUCAGGAUGGAGAGACGGCAACACUUGGCAGUCAGGCCCCUCGCUGCCAACCCGCACCCAGGAUCCCCGAAUUCUGCCAGAGUCGCGCGAAGAUCCGCUCUGCUCUUUCCAGGAGGCCGCGGAUGACAAAUGCAAAUCUGUGAAGCAUCUCGAAACACCCUCAGAUAUUUUAAUAAAUUGAUACGCAUCUCGAAGAAAAGGAGUUAACUUCAUUGUGAGAACACCCGGAAGCAUUUUCGUUGCAUUUGAAAACUCGGUGCCAAGUUUUCACACAUAUACGACGUGGGUCGCUCGCACUGUCACCUGUAUCAACGCAUCCACGGCACGAGAAUGUGAGGGGAAUCCAAACCCUGACCAAACCCUGACCGUGCGCAGUGCCGGGCAGCCUCGAGGGCUCGGCCGCACCCAGGAAGACCCC
rnacentral:lncRNA from 1 species